UAGAUGCGGAGUCGUACUGUUACGGCCACAGCAAACAAACACAACUUAGGCUAAAUGUGACCGUCAACAUAUUGAAUAACACCAAACCUGAGGAAUAAUUAAAGUAAAUCAAAGUUUAUUUACAACUUAACUACUAAUUAAAUUAAUUAAACCAAAACUAUGGGAGUCUGGAGGUCUGGCUAAAAAGAACAAAAGAAGGGAAGAAGCCUGAGCCAACCCAUCAAGGGCCGUCGGACCCAGAACUCCCCCCCCAAACUAAAAAGUAGUAACUAACUAACAGAAACAAAGCCACGAAAACUAUACUACCAGACCUCCAUCCUCAAAGCAAUGAAACAAUGAAAGACAAAAGUAGGUAACAAAAGGAACAACGGUGAUCCGAGCUGCUUCAGUCACUGACUAGGCAUUCCUGUCUCCCAGCCUCUUAUAUCCAGGGGCGGGGCCACCACCAAUCA